rnacentral:rRNA from 1 species
UACGAAGGGGGCUAGCGUUGCUCGGAAUCACUGGGCGUAAAGCGCACGUAGGCGGAUCUUUAAGUCAGGGGUGAAAUCCCGGAGCUCAACUCCGGAACUGCCUUUGAUACUGAGGGUCUCGAGUCCGGGAGAGGUGAGUGGAACUGCGAGUGUAGAGGUGAAAUUCGUAGAUAUUCGCAAGAACACCAGUGGCGAAGGCGGCUCACUGGCCCGGUACUGACACUCAGGGACGACAGCGUGGGGAGCGAACCGG